rnacentral:rRNA from 11 species
GCGACCGAUAGUGAACCAGUACCGUGAGGGAAAGGUGAAAAGCACCCCGACAAGGGGAGUGAAACAGAUCCUGAAACCGGAUGCCUACAAGCAGUUGGAGCCCAAGGUCCGUCCUGGGUGACAGCGUACCUCUUGCAUAAUGGGUCAGCGACUUAAUCUGGCAAGCAAGCUUAAGCCGAUAGGUGUAGGCGCAGCGAAAGCAAGUCUUAAUAGGGCGAAUGAGUUUGUCGGAUUAGACCCGAAACCAGGUGAUCUAGAUAUGAGCAGGUUGAAGGUGCAGUAACAUGCACUGGAGGACCGAACCCACGUAUGUUGAAAAAUGCGGGGAUGACUUGUGUCUAGGGGUGAAAGGCCAAUCAAACUUGGAAAUAGCUGGUUCUCCGCGAAAUCUAUUUAGGUAGAGCGUCGCGAUUAUACCCUCGGGGGUAGAGCACUGGAUGGGCUAGGGGGACUCACCGUCUUACCAAACCUAACCAAACUCCGAAUACCGAGGAGUACUGCGCGGCAGACACACUGCGGGUGCUAAGGUCCGUAGUGAAAAGGGAAACAGCCCUGACCGCCAGUUAAGGUCCCUAAGUAAUGGCUAAGUGGGAAAGGAUGUGGGAGUGCAGUGACAAUCAGGAGGUUGGCUUAGAAGCAGCCACCCUUUAAAGAAAGCGUAACAGCUCACUGAUCAAGCGCUCCUGCGCCGAAGAUGUACCGGGGCUUAAGCCAUUCACCGAAACUGCGGGUGUACAUUUCUUUCGGGAUUUGUACGCGGUAGCGGAGCGUUCCGUAAGUCUGUGAAGGGUGACCCGCGAGGGCACCUGGAGAUAUCGGAAGUGAGAAUGCUGACAUGAGUAGCGACAAAGAGGGUGAGAGACCCUCUCGCCGAAAGUCCAAGGGUUCCUGCGUAAAGCUAAUCUGCGCAGGGUUAGCCGGCCCCUAAGGCGAGGCAGAAAUGCGUAGUCGAUGGGAACCAGGUCAAUAUUCCUGGGCCGGGAGGUGGUGACGAAUUCCGUAUAUGGUUAGUCCUUAUUGGAUUGGACUAGCUGAGAAGGAGUUCCAGGAAAUAGCCCCUCCAUAACGACCGUACCCUAAACCGACACAGGUGGACAGGUAGAGUAUACUAAGGCGCUUGAGAGAACGAUGCUGAAGGAACUCGGCAAAUUGCCCUCGUAACUUCGGGAGAAGAGGGCCCUAUACUUGGGCAACCAGGUAUAGGGGGCACAGACCAGGGGGUAGCGACUGUUUACUAAAAACACAGGGCUCUGCGAAG